rnacentral:rRNA from 1 species
UAAACGGACCAUCGAGUAUCCAUUGGAGGGCAAGUCUGGUGCCAGCAGCUGCGGUAAUACCAGCCCCAAUAGCGUAUAUUAAAGUUGUUGCAGUUAAAAAGCUCGUAGUUGGACUUGUGUGCGCUGUCCGCGGGUGGCCAGCGCCCAAAAGGGCGUUUCGGUUCGGCCCCGGUGGCGCCUUGAAAUCUGCAGCUGGGGGGACGUUGGCCUUAACUGGUCGGCGACCGCACGCCGGCUGCUCGGUUACUGUGAGAAAAUUAGAGUGUUCAAGGCAGGCAUUGGGUGCAAUUGAAUACAUUAGCAUGGAAUAAUAAAAUAUGGCUCCUGCCGUAUUUUGUUGGUUUUGACUGGUGGGAGUAAUGAUUGAUAGGGACGGUCGGGGGUGCUAGUAUUGAGCGGCCAGAGGUGAAAUUCAUGGAUUCGCUCAAGACUAACUUAUGCGAAAGCAUUCACCAAGGACGUCCUCUUUAAUCAAGAACGAAAGUUGGGGGAUCGAAGACGAUCAGAUACCGUCGUAGUCUCAACCAUAAACUGUGUCGACUUGGGAUCGGCGGUAGUUUUUUCAUUAAGACACUGUCGGGACCACGGGAGAAAUCAAAGUGUCUGGACUCUGGGGGAAGUAUGGUCGCAAGGCUGAAACUUGAAGGAAUUGACGGAAGGGCACCACCAGGAGUGGAGCCUGCGGCUUAAUUUGACCCAACACGGGGAAACUUACCAGGUCCAGAGAUGUAGAGGAUUGACAGAUUGAAGCUCUUUCUUGAUCACUUCGGUGGUGGUGCAUGGCCGUUCUUAGUUGGUGGAGUGAUUUGUCUGGUUAAUUCCGUUAACGAACGAGACCUCAGCCUGCUAGUGUAGUCGGCUGGAUUGCCUUUGGCGAUCCGUGAUUUCGACUUCUUAGAGGGACAAUCGACGCGCAGUCGAUGGAAGUUUGAGGCAAUAACAGGUCUGUGAUGCCCUUAGAUGUUCUGGGCCGCACGCGCGCUACACUGCUGGGCUCAGCGAGUUUUACUUGGCCGAGAGGCCCGGUUAAUCUUGUGAAAUCCCAGCGUGCUUGGGCUCGCCUCCUGCAACUGGAGGCGCCAACGAGGAAUUCCUAGUAGACGCAGGUCAUCAACCUGCAUCGAUUACGUCCCUGCCCUUUGUACACACCGCCCGUCGUUCCAUAAGAGUGAGGCAUCCGGUGAAUUCUCGGGAGAGCCUGGGCGUGGCCAGCAAUGGUCUGCUCGGGUUUGAACUUGCAUAAACUUGGUGCCUAUGAUUAGGG